GGAGUUGUUGACAGCCUCCUGAAAGCAAUUCUGAGUGUGAAUUAAGCAAGGUGCUCUUUGAAGAAAGGUGCUGCUCAGCAUAAAAGUUAAAAGUGCAAUUCAGGAAGUACUGGGAUUCUGUGUAGAGCCGAGGAAACCAUUUCCCUAAGAGAAGCUCUGUUCCUUGGCUUGUCCUUCCUUCCCGAGAAGGAAGCUUCCGAGGAACGAAGGGAGAAGCUUUGUUUUGCCUGCAGAAGCAGCCCUGUGCUCGGUUGAGGGUUCUCAGCUGGCUGUGAACUGCGGAGCAUUGUAGGCGCCUGGCUGGCUCAGCCCAAUGCAGAAGUCUCUCCCUCUCCAAAGACCCAAAUCCCCACAGAACCAGCUUCGAGUUACUUUCCCUUCAAGGGGAUUAAAAUAAUUGUGAUUUGUGGCGCUC
rnacentral:sRNA from 1 species